UUUUCAGUACAAAUAAUAUGCUGUCUAAGUAAUACAUCUAACUAAAGGACAAAAAGACCCUUUGAAGCUUUAUAGGGAUAAAACUUUGAUUGCAUUUUUUAGCUUAGGCCGCUCAAAGAUCUAUAUCUGAGGUGUGCCUUAAUAAAUUUAUUUAUUGUCUGG
rnacentral:rRNA from 1 species